UCCCUUUGUACACACCGCCCGUCGCUACUACCGAUUGAAUGGCUCAGUGAGGCGUCCGGACUGGCCCAGAGAGGUGGGCAACUACCACUCAGGGCCGGAAAGCUCUCCAAACUCGGUCAUUUAGAGGAAGUAAAAGUCGUAACAAGGUCUCCGUUGGUGAACCAGCGGAGGGAUCAUUACCGAGUUUAC
rnacentral:rRNA from 1 species